rnacentral:piRNA from 1 species
UGGGUGCAUCAAAAGUUUGAUUCUACUGGU